ensembl:lncRNA
AAGAAAGAUAAGAUGUUUUAUCAAAUUCUUCAAAAGCAACAGCUGAAGUGAACAAACCUCCGUGGGUGCUUUUAAUAUGAAUGCUGGCCUCUAGAGAGAAAUGCAGAGCAAGUAUCAAGUGAGUACACUCCAACUAGGAAGGAUGUUAUUUGUCUUUCACGAUGAGGAGUUGGGAAGAAGGCUACCACUGAUUCUAGAUGUGUGGCAUACUUAUUGUUUCUUGCCUGAGGAUUUACUCUCUCUACUUGCCUGACAGAGAAGGUAACAGAUGCCGAAUGUGAGAGCAGAAGGAAAACAAGAUGUGUCCUGAUGCCAAAGUCAAAAUUAACUUAACAGGAGAGAAAAGUUGAAGAAGGCAAAUUCGUUUUUGUGAUAGAGUUUAAUUUAGAUCACCCAUGUUCAACAACAUUUUACAAGUCAUAAAAGACAUCGGG